UACGUAGGGUGCGAGCGUUGCCCGGAUUUAUUGGGCGUAAAGGGCUCGUAGGCGGUUUGUUGCGUCGGGAGUGAAAACACUGGGCUUAACCGAGUGCUUGCUUUCGAUACGGGCAGACUUGAGGCAUUGAGGGGAGAACGGAAUUCCUGGUGUAGCGGUGAAAUGCGCAGAUAUCAGGAGGAACACCGGUGGCGAAGGCGGUUCUCUGGCAAUGUUCUGACGCUGAGGAGCGAAAGUGUGGGGAGGCGAACAGG
rnacentral:rRNA from 1 species